GGGCGAUCCCCCACUCCGUCUACUAGAGGAGAGGGGGACGGCGCGGGCGCCUUUCCACGUUCCGUUUUUGUUCUUCUUGCUUCCGCUCCGCGCUCCAUUGGAAUACCCUAUUCAUCAAUGUUCGGCACAACAACACUUUGGGGAGGGUUGGGUACUUUUAUUUAACCCAGAGUAUUAAAAAUUCCACAGUGUAACUUAGUUCUUGACCUCUGAAGGCAGUAUAGGAGCACUGAACCCAUCCCCCAUCCCUUGAUUUGGUUGGUCGGCAGGUUAUUGUAGUCUGUGCAGAAAGCCUAACCACAAAUGUAAACUCAGACUAAUGUUUACAUGCACUAAUUCGGGUUGUAAAUAGGUGGUCACACUUUGCGUAGGCGCGGUUGACAGCGAGCGUCGACGGGAGUCGGUUGUCACGACCGGGAUCACUUCCAAACAUUUAUAAUAGCGUAGCGUUUAAGAAACGGUACCGAGAGUAGGGGGUCUCUCUACCCACUGGCAGAGGCCUAGGGGCAGUCUUGGGAACUGUUCACAACGUGGGGAUUUUAAAAUCCGCAACGCCUCCCACCCCCACCACUUCCGUACCGCCGUGGCGGGCGGCCAGGAGGACACCGCCUGGCGGAGCCUGCCCUCUGGCGGCCGCUCACUCCUCUGUGUACCCAACUUCGCGCCAGUCCGCAAGCGUCCGCCAGCCCAGCCGGACGUCUGACGUGAGGCACUGGAAGGCGCCAAAGAGGGAACGCGGUCGUCUCUCCUCCCACCAUUGACUCGGUUACAUCCAUCUUACGUCCCACUUGUGGCGUGCUGUCCAGCAUGUCACCCACUACGGGUAAGUGAAAAGAACUAUUCG